rnacentral:lncRNA from 1 species
AAAAGUUUUAUAAAGGUUCUCAACUCAAGUUCUUUCUUUUCUCUAAGAACCCAAACAAUGGCCUCUGCAUACAACCCCAUAUACACAGACGUCCCUGAAAAGGACGUCUUUGCCCUCCACUUCCUCCAAACCCUCUCAAACCUCAGAACACAAAACUCUUUCAGUUCUCCUGACAAUAAAACAAGCGAUCGUGUGAAGAAGAUCAAGAAGGCUGCGUACGUGUCCAUGGCCAGAGCAGCCGGGGCAACUAACCGGCUGUGGAGUAGAAGCCUCUUACACCAAGCCGCUAAAAGAAACAACAAGAACGUAAGAUUCCUAAGGAGGAAGAGGAGGGUGACGUGGCUCAUGAGGAGAAGAAGUAACCGGGGAGAUCCAAUAGAGGAUGUAGCGGCGGAGAGGCUGAGAAAUCUUGUUCCGGGAGGCGGAGGAAUGGAGACUUCAAAACUGAUGGAAGAGACGGCUCAUUACAUCAAGUGCCUUAGUAUGCAGGUCAAGGUCAUGCAGUGUCUUGUUGAUGGCUUGUCUCCGAAAUGAUCAUCAUCAAUAAUCAUAAUCAUCAUCAAUGAUGCAUAUAACGAUAUACGAUACACAUAGUAUUGGAAUGGGGUGAUCGCCACAUACGUGUAAGAUAGGGUAUAUCAAUACAUGAAAUGUGUGGAUAUGUACUAGUCAAUAAGCUACAAAAGAUUUUUUUUUUUUUUUGAAUUUUGUUAAUAGGGGAUUUUAUAUUUAUCAUUCUAUGGCUGUUUAAGUUGGUAUUGCUUUUGUAUAUAAAAAAAAAACAUUAUAAACAUUAGGGUUUGGGAACUUGCAGUUGAAAUUAUAUAUUCACUACUUUCUUUUUCUUUAUGAGAAUGAUGUUUCUAUGGCUGGAUUAUAUAUUUUACUUCUAAUUUACAAAAUAAACUAUAGUUUGAUUAUAAAUUUUUAACUAUCAUAAAAUCUACGUUAUAAUUUGUAUAGCUUAUACUAUACACAUGAUUGUUAAUGUUAGAGAACAAAUAUUAUACCCUUUUUUUAUAACGCACAGACUACAGUAUUCAUGCCGAAUUAAAAUCAAAUUACAACACAAUCACAUAAUUAACGAAGACGAAAAGACUACUAAACUACGUAACUCCGAAUUUGUUUUCUUUCUAAAUAAGCGAUCGCAACUUUACGUGGGAACUGGAUUAUCCACACAUGUCAUAUAUUAUACUAUUAUGAAGUUGGUCAUACAUAUGUUUCAUACGAUUGGCCUACUUUAUCAAUAAUGGAACACACGUGCAUGUACAUAGACCGGUCAAUUCCACAUUAAUGAGAACUGGUCAUGCAUCUAAAUUUAAGAGAAGCUUAUAUUAUAUGGACUCUGUACAACAUGUCAUGAGUCUUAUGCCACAGGCAGAGGAUCCUCUGGCGUGUAAGACUCUGUUGCUUCUAUACCGUAGUUCCAUAGCUCUUUAAGCUCUCCUCUUACCAACCCCAUAACGACAGCCAAACCUACAGAGAAACAACACAUCAGGUUUUGUUAACGGACAGGAACAGAUGGUAGAAGAGAAACUCAAGCUUCCGGUAUUUUACCAAGUGUGCAGGGAACGAUGUAGAGUAGCGCAGGCUGGCCAUGUCCGUCCAUUAGAUACAGACCUAGACAUGUCAGUAACAGACCUACACAACAGAAAGUAAGAAGCCGUCUUGAACAAGAAAUCAAUAUAUAUUACUUGUCUAAAAAGAAACUAAUGCUUCAGCUAUGUUUGAAGAGUGAAACUUACCUACACCAUAACCAAUAGUCAAGCAAAGAAAGUACCCACUUGACACUACCCUCUUCUUGAACUUGUCAUAUCUAAAACCAAAGAGAAGAGAAAUCAUCAAACUCAUACAGAAUUGAACAAACAUCUAGAGAUUUAAAGGGUUCUAAGUGUGUUAUUUGAAGCUCUGAGAAGUGGUAUACCUGGAAGCAAAGCAAAUAAGCAUACCAGGGACGCAAAUGUCCCCAAAACCAAUCAUUGGUAGCUACCCCCAAGGAUCGAAAAACCGAGGAAUCCUGAGAAACAUUGGCAUAGACUCCCCGCUGCUCCUGUCCCCUUGAGCAACCUACAAAAGAAGUGAUCUAAAAAGUAAGGAUCUCAACCAGCUAAAUUUGACAUGGUUUGCGAUUUAGAAACUCACCACAAUCAUAACACUCUCGUGGAAUAUCAACGGUGAUAUGAACACCCAGAAAAUGUCAUAUACAAAGGCGCAGCAGAGAAGCACAGUAGCAACCUGAGAGUACAUAAGAACUCUCAGCAUUUAAUCACAAAUCACUACAUAACAAGUUAAAGUCAAGACUUAAGCUACCUUGAUGUUAGGUAAUCGAACCACUUGCAAGGAUGUGAUCAUCAAACAGAUCCCCUGUCAAACAAUUUGACUGAUGAAUACUUACACAUAGUGCAAACCAAAGGAACUGAAACAUUGACAGAGCACUUACCAAUAUGUCUUGUCCAACCCAUGAAUAAUAUGUGUGUCGUUUCACAAACCAGAAUACAGUAAACGCCAGACAGAUAAUAAUCACCAGAACCGACAUCCAUGACACUGUCCCAAUCAAAGGGAGCUUCACAGUUUUCCGACCAAGAUGUCUCCACUUUCUGCAGGCGGAUCACAACAUAAUAUCCAAUUAAUUAAGAGAUCCUAAGAAGUUUAACAUUUAGGAAGAAUUGAGAAUACCUCAAUAAAACUGCCAUAAUGAUCUUAUGCAUAUCCUGAAAACAAACAUACAUUCAAUCUCAAAUACUCUACACUAGUCUAGCUCAAAACCACAAGAAUGUUACUUGCAUGCCAAAAAUGCAGAAGAAGAUGAUGAGCACCAAUACUAACCAUGAUGACAUGAAGUAGAAAAGCAGCAGCAGAAAAACGGAGGCUGUUACUAUAAAGAACACAGCACCUGUGACACUAUGGAAGUUUCUAAAUUAUGAGUUUCUUACUAAUGGGUAUUGUAGACACUAAGGCCAGAUGGGCUUGUAAACAUUUUAUUUUCUUUUGCUCUUUAAUAUGAAAGCCAAUGUUCAAAAAAAAAAAAAAAAAAACAAAAAUUAAGUUCUAAAUCAAUCUUCCUAGCCUCUCAUUUAGUAUAGCUACCAAUGGUGAAUACCAAACAAGAUGGUUAACCUUUGAUGAUAUGCUGUAAGAUUCAUUAGCUUGGUCAGGAUCUGUGAGGUCAGACCACAGAGAUCCAACGACAACGGUUCAAACAGCCAUGUCCACAGCAGGACGAGUUGGUGCAUACAACAGAAGCUCAACUACAAAAACAAAAGACGUUUUUUUAGAAAAUCAACAACAACAAACAACUCAAUAAAAGCCUAUUUAACGAACUACACACACUCACCACUCUUGUUUUCUAGCAUAGACUUGUAGAGAGCAUACCCGCUUGACUUAGAGAUCAUUAACACAGGUAUAGUCACAUUCAAAGACAUGUCUUUCUCCACACACACCAUCUCAUCAGGAUCUAACCAAAAAAAAAAAGAUUAAAUCAGACAACACAAAGCUUCUAUUUAUUUAUUUAUUUAUUUAUUUUUUUAAAAAGAUUCUAUCUUUACACAAACCCAUUUUGAAAAAAGUUAAAAAAACAAACCUUCUUUGUCAUUAAUGACCAAUAGAGCAGAAGCACCAGCUGCUUCAGCGUGUUUGGCCUUCUCACAGUUCCCACGGAAGGACACUGCAAAUGCGUCCAUCUAACUGGAAAAACAAACAUUCAAUAAUCUGUGCAAAGUCAUAGACUUUAAGAAGAGAGAGACUGACCCUUGAAGAGAGAAUGUAACAUGAGUCCGGAGGAUCUACAAGAAAAGCGUGAAGUCUACGGCUUUGACGAGCUUUAGAAGGUAAGGAAGCUCCGAAGCCGGUAAAGUAGGAACCUUUAACAUCAUUGAUCCAGUUUAAGACCUUCACCUGUAGAUGGAAGGUUCGAGGAGGAGUAAGAGAGUGUGAAGAGAAUCAUGAAAAUGGAAUUUUACCGUUUGAAACUUAUUGGAGCAGCCAGGAGGAGAGGAGUCGUCGGAAGCUGCAACGGAGAAACAGUACUACAAAGGGAGAGCAUCAAACGACGACAUGAAGCAACCGACGGGAGUGUGAGAGAGAGAUGGAAGAGUUGCUGUUAGAUUAAUCUUUUUAUAGAUUAAUGGACGGUCGACAAAUUUUGGAUUAAUGUUAAUUCUAAUAGUUAUUCAGUUGGUAAUUGUAAUCCCUUAUAUACUAAAGCGCAAGUCGCCUAACGAAUCAAACUCUGACACGUGGAAUUUUUUCAAAAAAAUGAUUGAAAAAUACAGAAAAGCAAUCACGUUUUUUGUUCAUCAAAAUAUGAAAGUUUCACAAUUUCAAAUAACCAACAUUUUAUAAAUUUCUCAUACACGGAUGAAACUUGUGGAUUUUAAAAAUCAAUAAAAGCUAAUUAAUUAUCAACAUAAUAAUUAAAAUCUAAAUCUAUUACAAAAUCAAACUGUAUAAAAAUAACAGUCUCUAUAAAGAACUCCACGAUCCCUAUUCUCAUGGCAUGAUUUCAAACUAUUUAAUUUUCUCAAAAAAAUUCAAAAAUGUCAUUCAUUUACGAAACCAAAAAAAAAUCAAAAGUAUACUACGUUCAGUUGAUUUCAAAUAUUUGUAACUGCAAAACAAGAAUCCUAUUUUUACACAACCACGUUCCAAAAUGACUUUCGUAAAUCCUUCCCUCUCAAUGUCAACUGCUUCACCUCUUAUAAAACAUUCAGUUACGGUUUUUACUUUUCAAUAUUCUUUUCUUUGUUUCACUUUUUGGUCUAAGAAUACACAGCAGAGAAGAUAAUCUUUUUUUUCUCUUCUUCGUCUCCACAAUUUCAUCUUCUUGGUAAUUUUAUUUUGUUUUCGAAUUUGACAAAAAUUAUUUAAAUUCAUUUCUUCUCUUUUUCGAACACUAUUCUAUUAUAUUUUUCUGCAUGAUUCAAAGUUGAGGAUUUGAUCAUAGUAUACUUCUGUUUUGUAGUUUACACUUUCACAAAAUGGUGGAAAAACAGAGCUUUCUUUCACACAAUAUUACUACCAGAAGCCUAAAGUUAUUCUCAGCAUGAAAAGUUAAUUCUUAUAGAAAAAGGUAAACACGACUGGAUUUAAAUCAUGGUAUGAGAAAAUCUGUUUAAAUAGACAAAACUUCUUUUUAAUCUGUUUAAAUAGAAUUCUUUGAUUGUUUUAAUUUUUUAUAUAUAUUUUUAAUAUAAACUAAUUAAUUAUAAUUUUCUAUAAAUAUAUAUAUAUAUAUAUAAUUUUAAAUACUCUAAGACGACACUAAAACAUCUUUUUGUUUAAAGAAUAAAGAAAUUUUUUUACAUUAUAUUUUAAUCUUUAAAAUCUUUAUAAUUCUGACAUAUAUUUUUGGGUCUCUGAAAUUGAGCUAAUCGUUUCUUCAACUAAUUUGAGCUAUUUAUUAAAGAAAAAAUAAAUAAAGAAAGAAAGGAAGGUUCUGUUUUUUUUCAAAUGAUAAAGGAGCACAGAUCCAUUCAAAGAAACUCCUCUGACGUUUUCCCACACCCCCCAAAUCUCAAACCUCCUCUCCGAAAGACUGUUACUAAUCUGCUCCUUUUGGUCGGAGAACGAAAAAAAAAACAUAGGAAACAUAUGGCAGCUCCUGCCAUGAAGAUCGUGUUCGGUCUAUUGACAUUUGUCACUGUCGGAAUGAUCAUAGGUACUCUCUCUCUCUCUAUUUAUAGCAGAGGCUAUAAAGCUGUAAUUUGAUGUCACCUCUCGAUCUUAUAUAGCUUUAUUUUUCAUUACCGUGACUCUAGCUUUAAAUCUGUUCUGUUUAUUUUUUUUAAAUUCGGAGACGACUAUGACAUUGACUUUUUAUGAGGAACUGAAGCGGCACUUUUGGUAACUCAUGUAGUUUGUGUUUCUUGUUUUUUGUUUUCCCCUGGAAUCUGCAGGUGCCUUAUUACAAUUGGCCUUUAUCAACAGACUGGAAGAUUCGUACGGUAACUACCUCUUUCUUCCUUUUUUUAGAAUAUGUUUUAUUUUGUAGUUUUGAAUGUCUUUUGAUUCUUUGUGAUGUUAUGUUGCUUAUUGUUGUGGUGUCCUUUGAUUUUCUCAGUUGCUUCUUGUUUCAGGAAAUGGAUUACCAUCCUUAAGAGGGCUUCGGGGACAGAGCUCUCGACAUCUCCGAGGUUCGUAUAAUUUAGGACAAGACUAUUCUUGGAAAGAUUAAUUUGAGAUUAAAUGGAAAUUAUAGCGAUAACUCAUAUAUUUUCAGAUGUUUCCCGGUGGGCAAAUGACAAAGAUGCAGAAGCUUUGCGGCUUGGCUAUGUAAGUCUUAUCAUAUCCAUUCUGUAAAUUCAAGGUCUGUUCUUAAUGUUGAUUUGGUUUAGUGCAGGUCAAGCCUGAAGUAGUUAGUUGGUCCCCUCGAAUUAUUGUGCUUCAUAACUUCCUCAGCUCAGAGGUAAUCUACACCGCCCCUUAUAUAUAUUAGUGACUAGUUCAUUGAGUUAAACUUGGUGGCAAUGAGUUAGAAUGAUCUGUUACUUCUAUACAACAUGCUAUCAUAUUUCUAGAGGAACAUAUUCAAAGUAUGUUAGGCCUUAGAUGGAACCUUUUUAUUAUCAUUGUUCUAAUUGCAUUACCAUAAGAGUUAGCAAAAACGGCUUUUAUCAUUUUGUUUUGCCUUUUAAACAAGUUUCUUAUUGUUCUCUUGAUUUGUAUAUCUUCAGGAAUGUGAACACCUCAAAGCUAUCGCCAGGCCUCGCCUUCAGGUUUCCACUGUCGUCGAUGUUAAAACCGGAAAGGUACUGCGAAAUUCAUAUUCACACUCUAGAGAUUCCACUGUUCCACUAUACUCUAGAUAAGCAUUCAAAAUCUUAUACAUUCUCUUAUUACUUUCAUCUUGCUUAGGGAGUUAAAAGUGACGUGAGGACAAGCUCUGGAAUGUUUCUAACUCACGUAGAAAGAAGUUAUCCAAUUAUUCAGGUAGGUCAUUGGCUCUCUAAUGUUUUCAGAAGUUAUGUCAUUUCAAUUUGAUAAAUUAUAUUUCUUUUCCUUUUGCUAUCAGGCAAUUGAAAAGAGAAUCUCAGUCUUUUCUCAAGUACCAGCAGAGAAUGGAGAACUCAUUCAAGUCCUAAGGUGCGUGUACAAUUGCAAUCUUACUACUCUUUAAGUCAAAGCAAAUGUUGUUUUCUUGAUUUGAUGAAUCAAAAUCUGCUGCAGUGCAGAUAUGAACCGAACCAGUUUUACAGACCACAUCACGAUUACUUUUCUGACACUGUAAGUCUCUGGUUAUAUUUCAUUUCUAUAUCUUGCUUAUGGUUCUGAUCUUCUUCUUCUUUAUCGUCUUAGAACAAUUAGUUUCUUGAGUAAGUUAUCUUGUGUGUACAUCAUAUCUCUGUCUUAUGCUUUCCACACAGUUCAAUCUGAAGCGUGGUGGUCAGCGCGUAGCAACAAUGCUAAUGUACUUAACAGAUGAUGUUGAAGGAGGUGAAACUUAUUUCCCUUUGGUAUAGCUUCUUCUUCCCCUUGUGUAGGUUCUCUUUAUAACACAUUUGUUUCUUCUCUCUUAUGAAACCAAUUUGUAUAUAUUUUUGUCUCUUUUCAAAUGCAGGCUGGUGAUGGUGAAUGCACAUGUGGAGGCAAAAUCAUGAAAGGCAUUUCUGUGAAACCCACCAAAGGAGACGCAGUUCUCGUCUGGAGCAUGGUUUGUUUCUUCAGUCUCUUUAUUGACACAGACAUGAAUCAUGUGGGCUGCUUUGUGUUUCAUAUUGCCUUGUAUCUUGUGUUAUUCAGGGGCUUGAUGGACAGUCAGAUCCAAAGAGCAUACAUGGAGGAUGUGAAGUUCUGUCUGGAGAGAAAUGGUCAGCUACUAAAUGGAUGAGACAAAAAGCUACUUCUUGAGGGACUUGAAAACUUUAUAAACUAAAGGAACCACAGUGACUUUAUAUUGAAAAUGUCUUAGAAUCUAAGAUUUUUGAUAUACCUCUUUUUUGACCCUUGAAUUUUAUAAUCUAUCAUUUACAUACAUAUUGGAUUUGGAGGUGUAAUCACUUGUCACCCAACUGCAACAAAUCUUUGGUUACUAUUCCAUUGUCACAUAUACACUGAUAGGCUUACCUACGUGUCUGUGUAUGAAGAAAGCAAACCUUAAAAAUAGAUACAAAACUUAUAUUAGAAAACUAUUUAAGAAACUAAUAUAUGAAGUCCUAAACCUAGUGCUGAGAAGGGUUGGAUAUGCCCUACAAAAUCUCUGAUAUGAUCUACAAAAUACAUAUGAGGGGGAAUAUGUAUGUAAAUAAUAGAUGAUAAAAUUCAAGGUUCAAAAAGAGUAUAUCAAAAGUCAGAGAUUAUAAAGUCACUGUGCUUUACACGAUCAAUUUAAAGGGACGGAGGAUUCCAUGAAGCUGCUAAAAGAAAUCCAUUACAAAAUGCAAGAAGUGUUAUUAUUACUUGCUGAGGAGAUUCCUUGCCAUCAUUUGAAUUUGUUAGCGAAAAGAUAUGAGAGUUACCCUUAGGUGCGCUGAAUCUCUUCAACCCCAGCUCCAUCGGUCCUCCAUCCUCCUCUUGAAGCAGCUCUUCUCUCCCAUGACUAUGGUGGUGAUUGUGUCUCUUCCAUCCGCUACUUCUUCCGUUGCGAUUUCGUCCAAUUCCAGAUCCGCCUCCGCGUCUGCCUUCUUUGAUGUCGUUCGAAGCCCUCUCUCCACCGUUAGCUGAAAUUAAUGGUAACUGUUCAAAAUAAUAGUAUCUAUUACAGAAAGUAUCCUAAAAACUGAAAAUAGUACCAAAAAUUAAUCUCCGCUUAAUCUCCGAUCUUUUAGUUUCGACUACCGCCUAGCGUAGUUUUUAACAUUGGUAUUAAUAGAUAGUCAACUCAUAAUUUCUGUCAAUAAAUUUUAGCACAUGUGAUGAGUGUAUGAUUAGAUCGGAACUACAAAACAUUGUUGUAAUAAGAAUUGUCCGUUUUUCCCUCCAACACAUAUAACACAUAUCAAAGUUGGUGUGUUUCGUUUUAGAAAUAGAAAGAAUAUGAUAUUUUAAUAUUAUAUUCUUUUUUCAGCAAAAAUAAAUAAAUAAGUAUAUAUAUAUACAUAUAAUAUUAAAAUAUCGUAUUCUUUCUAUUUCUACAAUAUUAAAAUAUAAAAUUAUAUCUAUGCAACAUCAUUUCUGAAAUUGAGUUGAUUUGGGCGGCCCAUAGAACUAAAUAAACAUAUUUAAACGGCAAGAGUAUCGAAGGAUAAGAACAAUCGUCGAAACCUUAAUUGCCGACCAUGAGGGCGAACCUAAGAUCUUUGGUCGCGAAGGUAGAUCUCGAGAAUCAAACCGCUUGCGAUGUUCUGUUUUGUCUUUGUUUGUGCGCGAUCUAUCUGAUUUUUGACCAACGUUAUGUUCACAGGCUUACCGUGUUCGUCAAGGCCGUACUUUCUCUUCCUCUUCCUCCACUACCAAUCCUAUCGACAACAAAGGUUAGCCACUUUCUCUCUUUUCCCCCUGAUGAAAUAUAUCAAAAUCUCGAGCCUCUAUUUUUAUUUUGAUAUCUGCAAUUGAUCUUCCAGGAAAAAGAUCGGUCAUCAACACAGUCAAUAAUUUAAGUAAUAUGCUCGCCUGGUUUACUGCUGGAUAUGUGUUUAAAUUUGGUUGGGGUAAUAAAAAUUGAAUUUAUUUUGGUAUUUUCCUAGUGAUAGAGAUAAGAGAAAAAGACAACAUGUUCAUCUGUGUUUUGCUUACAUAUUUCUCAGAAGCGUCGGCCUUAUACAAAUCCAAGCGAAAGUCGGAUAAGUUGUGGGAAGAAUAUAGACGCGAGUUAGAACUUUAUCAUGAGGAAAGGGUAUGAAUCUUUCCCCUCUCUCUCUCUCUCUGCUCUUUUUAGUUUGGCUUUUGAAGUUUAAAAACUAACUCCUAUAUGUGUGCUUUUCUUAUUAUCUCGUGCAUUCAGAAGGCAGAACCGUAGCCUGCGUGGAUUAUCCGAGGAAUGACAUGUUCGUGUCUCAUACGUUUGUUGUGUAUGUUGCAAUGCUGUGAACUGAAUUAUCUAUGGUUGUAAUGUCGGAUUUAUACUUGUUUGGUUGGCGUUUAUAUCAAUUGGCCUCGGACUUCUCAACGUUUCUUGGUGUUAAUGAUUUUCCCCUAUCCAUCGUAUCUUUGUUUCCCCACUUGACCGUGGUGGCUUUGUUAUCAUGUGUUUUGAACUUUUACUCCAUUGUUUGAAUGGAGAGGAAAGCUAUCUAGAAUAAAUCAUGCUUAUUGUUAUGCUUGUUUUCGCAUGCAAUUUUUACACAUAUAUCUCAGGAAUUCUACUAAAGAAUUUUUGUUCGCUUCAUUUUCCUAAGGAAUUUUCUUUCUUUGUAUCUCGUGUUUAUUACCAACACACGCAAUUACCCUUUAGCUUCUUGUUAAAUUAGUGUACACAGUAUGCGUUUUACUGUUGGUCUAAACCAAAGUGGAUAAAGUUGGUCAUUGACAUUUGGUAAUUCUUGCUCCACAUUCAUGUUUCUGAUUAUUAAGAAAAUGUAACAAAGAUAAAAUACAAACUUGUUUUAUAGCUAUGUAAUUAAUUUAUCAUUGUUGUUAUAAAAGAAUGCAUCUCUCUUUCUGUAAGUUAUUAAACCAACCAACUUCUUAAAAUAAAACUGGUACAAAGAGAUGUUACCACGAACAGCAAGAAAAUGAUUAAUUUGGGCUACGUCUUGUUUGGAUAAUAUAGAGACGGGUUGUAUGAACUCUUAUUUGAGAGUGCGAUGCAAAGGAGUUGACAUAUAUAGGCUACUAAUAUCCCGCAUAAAUGGCCGCCUAGUCUAAAACCCAUAAGAAUAUUUUAUGAGUUGACGAAAGAAGAGACCCAUCCAUGCAAAGAAAGCAAAAAACAGUUUGUGUUCACUUUAACGGUUUCUGAUAACUGCAACGUUAAGCAGAGAAUUUAUAUAUGAAGUAUAUUAUAUACAUUCAUUCUUUUCAAAAGAUUAGAAAUUAAUGGAACCCAAUCAAAGGCUAAAGUUAAAAAGUAUAUUAUAUUCAUGCAGGGAAGGGCACACCAGCUUCACCCGCAAACUCUAAAAACCAUGUGUGAUCAACUUACAAACUUCGCACUGAUGACAAUGUCAUUACCUUACUCUCAACCAUCAAUAAUUAAUAAUGAGUUCUUUUUUCAGAUUCAUAUCGUUAUAAAGUAACUAGAUACUUUGAGACUCACUUUAUGUCGAUUUAUCCCUUAUUGCUUGAUCUCUAGCUUCAUAAAAAUGUUCUUGUUUAAUUUCACACUUGCUUUCUUCUGGUUUAUUCAUUUUUGAUUGUGAAGUACUGAAAUAAAUAACAUCUCUCGAUCCCUAAAAUGUUUUGUGUAUAGCUUACUCGUGUUUAGACUCUCUUUUCCUCGCAUAUUUCUUUCGUUACUUAGAGCAGCAUUAACGCAAAGGAGAGGAAGAGUGGGUUUUAAACUUUUUUUUAUUAUUAUUUUUAUGUUUUGUCCGAUUUAAAAAAAAAAUUAAAAAUUGACUCAUCGCAGGCUGCCACGUAUCAGUGGGGCCCGCGAAAAGUGAUAAAACCCUUACAAACUCACCUCUUACGGAAGAGGCAGAGGAGGCAGAUUUUAAUUUAUAGUGGGACCCACAUGAUUUUAAACUUUUUUUUUUUGGAAGAGUCAGCCUUAAGAGGCAGGGAUAUUAAUGCUCUUAGAUGUAUGUGAGCAAAAACAGCAAAUCAAUAAGCCUUGGGAACCUUUUGAUGUCCCAGAUGGAGUAGCAUAGUAAGUAGAAUUACCAUAAUGAUUUGGGCUAUGUCUUGUUUCAUUGUUUGGGUAAUGUAGAUGGUCGACAUGACUCUUAUUUGAGAGUGAGAUGCAAAGGAGUUGAUCAAGGCUACUCCUAAAAACUCGCAGAAAUGGCCGAUUCUUCAUAGUUAUUGUAUGGGUAUUCUAUCUACGCAUAAAAAUAUAGAAGCUUUCUUCAACCUUACUUCUACUUUAAAGCGUGGCAGGCCACAAUCAAUUUGUUCUAGUGUUGGCAGAGUUUGCAUCCUAUUUCUCUAUUAUUGUUGUGUUAGACAAUCGAUGGUUAUCACGCAUGUUCAAAUCUUCCAGCAAAUUAAAGAAUAUACUAUAGCAUUUAAGUUUCAACUCUUUUAAGUCAAACCAACUAUGUAAAUUUUGUUAUAAUCUUGCUACUUUCAAAUAAUAUCAUUUUAUACAUCACAUUUUAAGCUUUUCUAUUUAAUUGUCUCUGUCUUCAACUUUAAAAAAAAAAACUCGGCAUGUACAUAGAUCUGUUGUCUUUUUGCAUUGCUUACAUUUAUUAUCCAUAUAUUUUUGUAAAGGUUUUUUCUUUGUCAAAGCUGAAUUCAAUGAUACAAACAUUAUAGAAGGCAAUAGUCAAAUCUUUGUGUGAUCUAACCUAUACUAAAAGGGAUAUAUGAAGAGUAGAGAAGCUGCCACGUCUGCAAAUAAAAUCAUCCAAUCAUUAUGUGACAUGUCAGCCAAAACUACAUACGCAUCUCAACUAUGGGAAACCUUUCGUCUUCUCCACGAGUCCUUGCAAAAAUUGGAUUGUUACAUCUUCCAAAAAUUCUUCGUUCGUUUGGCUUAAUUCCAGGGGUAUUGGGUUGGUACUUUGUGCGGGGGGGGGGAACAUAAUACAUACAUCAGGUCGAGAUUUCAUCUGGAGCUGCUGUAGUUGCAGCAAUUAGCUUAUCUAAAAGGGCCUACAUUCGCAGGGAAACUCAUCAUCAUCACAGUAAAUAAAUAAUAGAUUUCACUUUCCUGUAAUCGUGUUACUGGUUUAGUUUUUGAGCUUUCGAUUUACUAAGAAGUAUGUGACACAAGAGAAAGUGAUGGAAUAGCUUCGUCAGAUGAAUUGAAACAAAGAGGAUUUGAUAUACUAAUGCUAUCUGAAUUGAUGGAGCUGGAGGCUAUGAAAUCAAGUUCUCAGCUAAACCAUAUGGUGCUUCCUCGGUUCUUAAAUUGAAACAUGAAUUAGGCAAGACAGUUUUGGAUCUGGUGAAGAAUAUUAUGGAUCAAGCUUUCUCUGUGAAAUUGAAUGGUCAUGUACUCAUGUUCAGUUCUCCUCAAAUAGUAAUGCUGAGUUGAAUGAUCUUCUUUCGAUUACUUCUGAGUUCAAUUUGACAAAAUAUUCAGCAAAAUGGAGGCAGCUCUCACCGCUUAUCUCGCAUUUUCAGAGGUGAAUUUCUCACUGAGUGUCAAUCUUUUCUUUUCUUUUUUUGCCAUUUGACUCAGUGUUUUCUCCGUGUACCUCAGAUUUGUCCGCAAAUCUACAAUCUUUUCUGAUAUUUCUGUUGAAUUGCAGAUUAUAGCUUUGAAGGAAUGAGACACAGAUUAGUCUCUGAGGAAGCAAAAGCCACAACCAAAUACUUUAUUUCCUGAUCUGAAACAUCUUAUAUCCUAUGUAAAUUAGAUGUCUCUUUGAUGACCUGAAGAACAUAUAAAUUGUUUUUGUGUUGUGAGUCAAGAAAAAGAUUACACGAUUUGUAAUGUGGAGUGAUGUAGUAAAUAAUUAUUUGUUUGUUUUACUAUUCAAAUAAUAUUUGUGAUUUUGUGGAGUCUUCACGUCUUUAUAAAUGAAAUUAGAAAAGUUGCACAUAACAAAUUAAGAUCAAUUUAACAGUUUAGUAAAAAAUAAUUUUGCAAAUUAAAUAUGUUAGUUUUUGCCACAGAUACAAUAUGCAUAUAUUACAUCAUUUGUGAAAACAUGGACAUAUUCAAACAAAUGAAAUUGUGUGUGAUAAAUGUUUUAUGGCAUAUUAUAAAACAAGGUAUUUUAAAAUUUAAAUUAAAUUGAAAAGUAAUUUAAAUUGUUUACUGUAAAAAUAAAUUGAUACUAGGAAAAAAAAACACAAAAAUACUUUUAAUCUCUUAUAAUCCGACCAAACCAUCUAUGCAUAUUUUAAUUCCAUCAAAAUUAAGCAUGAACAACAUAUAUAUUCCACACCAAAAACGGAUGCCCCCUUAAUCAAAUAGGAAAAAAAAAGAUCUACAAGUGAAAGUUUGUUUGCUCUUUUGGUUUACUAAUGGUUAAUCAAUGAUUUUACACCAUGAAUUCUCAUUUUAGAAUCUUAGAAUAGAACAAACUAUGCAGAUUAGUAGAUCUUUUUCAUAUAGAAUCUUUAAUAUGGUGCAGAAAGUAUAGCCAGACGUGGAUUUAAUAGAACGAUUCAAAGUGAUAUAAUCAGACGUUAAUUUUCAUAAAUUAGGAAGCAUUGUCGGAUACAAAAUCGUCUAUGUAAUAUUUCUAUAAUAUCAUAAUAUAUCAGUGCUAAAAAUAGUAUGUAUCUACAUAUGCAAGAUAAUACAUAUCCACAUAGGACUGAGAGUUCGCGUCUUCGGUUCAGUUCCUCUCAAGUCCGAGCCCUUCGGAUCUUAGCAUUUGGAUCCAAUUAGGUAUUUGGAAUUUUUUUUAUCUGGAUACAAGUCGGUUCCUUUAAGGUUCGGAUUGGUUCCUCUUGGAUCCGGAUCGGUUUGGAUCUAUAGUAAAAAUACAUGUCAUUUUCGGAUCCAUAGCCGAUUCGGGGUCGGGUAUUUAAGAUCCAAAAAACUGAAGUACCCAACUCCAUCAAAAUUACCCUAAAUCCGUCAUAUUUAUCUAAAAUUUAUAAAAUAACCAAAAUAAACUAUUAAUUAUUAAAAUUAUAAAUUAUAAAUUGUAAAUUUGACAUUUAAAGUUUCACAUUGCUUAAAAAUCAUUAAUAUAAAAACGAAGAUUGCUAACAAAAAGACAUUUCAACUAAAUCAUUAAAUAAAUACAAAGAAAAUAGACACAUAAAAUCAUAGUUUUGGAUAUUCAUGUUUUAGGUCGGAUAUGAAAUGGGUCUUAUCAGCGGAUCUAUUCAGGUCGGUUCUUUAUGGGGCAGGGUCUAUUAGGGCAUGGGUCUAUUCGGUUUGUUUUUUUUCGGCUUCGGUUGUUUUGUGUAAGGCAAUUUUAAACCAACUAGGUAUUUAUAAAUUUACGGUCCGGUUUCGUAUCGGGUAUUUUCGCGUUGGUUCUGGUUCAAAUUUUUGGAUCCGAAUAAAAUGCUCAGGUCUAUAUUCAUAGAUGUACGAAAAUAUAUUUACUAUACACUCUGUUUUUAGUAUAUGAAGUUUGAAGUUUUUUUGUUUAAAACUACAAGAGUUUUUCAAUUUUCAAUAUAAAAUUUUGUUAUUUUUAUGCUAUUUUAUAUUUUAUAUUUGCAGAUUAUUUAUGCGUUGAACGAAAUAUGGUUAAAUGAUGUUUUUUUUAGAAAAUAUAUAAAAUUAAAUGUUUUUAAUAUAUGUGCACAAUUCCAAAACAUUAAAUAAAAAUGAAAAUAAUAAUAAUAAUAGUAUUAUUUUAAUUUGGUAUUAGAGGUCCAGCAGUUAUACAAAUUUACCACUUAUUUAAUAUGUUAUAUUAUUAAAAGUUUUCGAUAUCAGCAAAUUAGAAGUUUUACAAAUUACAAAUUUUGUUUGUUUGAUAAGAGUUUUAAAUAUGUAUGUGUUCACAGACAAAUAUAUAAUAACUUAAAAUGAUACAAAUUAUAGGACAUUAUGGGAAUGAUUAGGGUUUUUGCCGAGCCAAGCUGAGAAGCUGUAACCUCAAUGAUUUUAACUGGAAAGACAUAUGUUUGUUUUGCUUAUUUAGAUUUGAAUCUGAUGUAAUUUAAGGUAAAUGAAAUUCAAUUUUAUGCAUUUAUCCAAAUUUACAUUUAAAAAUGGAAUAAAAUUAUUGUAAAAAUUACUUAGAAAAUAUAUGCUUAUAUCUUUUUCGGUUACCAAUGAAAAUAGAUAUAUAAACAGUUCUGAAAGAUAAAUACAGUUAAUUAAAACAACAUAAUUUCAAUACAACAUAAUUUCGGAUACCCAUUCGGGUUCGGUUCUGAUCUAUUCGGGUUUCGAGUUUUUGGAUUUAAAAAUUUUAGCUACAUUCGGGUAUUUCUAAAUUUCGGUUCAGAUUCAGUUCGAAUUUUUGCCGGUUCGGUUCGGAUUCGGAAUUUAAAAUAUAUAAUCCGCGCGUAGCGCGGAAAAAGAAUCUAGUUAUUAUAAAAUAUAAAUACAUUUACAAAUAAGAAAGUAAAGAACUUUCUUUGAAAAUUCAUAGAAAAUGAACUAUUGGGAGAAAAAACGAACUUGUAUAUAAAUUCCCUAGACAUUAUUUGAAAACCGAUUUGCCACAAAAAUAUCACACAAAAACGAACAUCGGUAAUUUCAUAUAAUAUUAAAAUAUUAUAUUCUUUCUAUUUCUACAAUAUUAAAAUAUAAAAUUAUAUCUAUGCAACAUCAUUUCUGAAAUUGAGUUGAUUUGGGCCAGGGGCAGGGCCCAUAGAACUAAAUAAACAUAUUUAAACGGCAAGAGUAUCGAACAAUUGUCGAAACCUUAAUUGCCGACCAUGAGGGCGAACCUGAGAUCUUUGGUCGCGAAGGUAGAUCUCGAGAAUCAAACCGCUUGCGAUGUUCUGUUUUUUUCUUUGUUUGUGCGCGAUCUAUCUGAUUUUCGACCAACGUUGUGUUCACAGGCUUACCGCGUUCGUCAAGGCCGUACUUUCUCUUCCUCUUCCUCCACUACCAAUCCUAUCAACUACAAAGGUUAGCCACUUUCUCUCAUGAAUUGGGUGUUGUAUUUGGAGGGAAGUCCUAAGUUUUUAGCUUUAUGAUUGUAGGCGAUAUUUCUAUUUACGAGUACCUCUUCAGUCGAGGUCUGGUAUCGUUCAUCGGGUUCGGCGUUGGUAAGAAGCGUUUGCGUGAGAGAGAGAGAGAGAGAGAGAGAGAGAUUAUAUACUCUUUACUUACGCCUUGAAUUUGGUUUUUUUUUUUUUUUGGUAUCAAGCUUCUUGCAUUACGGGCGACUCUGUUUCCAAAUUCGAUGAAGAGCUGAAAGCGGUAAACUAACAGAACACCAUCAUCGCAAUUUAUAUUGUUGAAUGGUGUUUUUGAUCAUCUUGUGGUUUCAGAUUGACAAGGAUGCUGUGGACUUCUUGGAGAAGAGGGGAAAGCUGCCACCUGGUUCUUUGGACGCUAUGUACAAAUCCUAAUUAGCUCAAGUUCUAACAAAGCCGGCCUUUAUAUAGUUUGUCUCCCUAAUUUGUCUGGUUUAUGUAAGAGAGUCUGCUUAUGGGUGGGCAUCAUCGUUUCCAUGGAUUUGUUUUCUCUUGUGUGGUUUAUAGUUCUGUCUCCCUCAUUUCAUGUAAUGGAGUCUAUUUAUUCCUGAUUUUUUUUCUCACGCAUGCAUACAUGAAGUUACUUGCAAUUAUCACAACAUAUAAUCCAUAAAACGGUGAAUUAAAAUAAGAAGACAAGAUCGGUUGCUCUGAUUCCAAAUCAGAACACGCUAAGUGAAAAUUUGACCUGUUUUCGAGGCCAAUGUCUGAGUCCAGAAAUUCCAACAUCGUUUGGUUACAAACCUGAAUCGUUUGGGUUGUCCUGAAGCUACAAACGACAAAUGAAGCAUUCAUGGAAGGCAAAUCAAGGCAUGCAAACAUCUCCAUUACAUAGCAAAGGUUUCUGAGUUUCUUUUAAGGUCGACCUUGAAAAGAUAGCAAUCAAUCUAAGUUUAGUCUCUUAGCUAUAUUUUCUUUUUCAAGAAUGCCAUGCAUGUCCAUUUAACCACUUUUUUCUUAUAAAAUCAUGGAACUUUCCUUGUGUCCUGAUAAUAUCUAAAGAUGUACAGAGAGAUGAGCAACAAGCGAAGAGGCAUGCAUUAAUAAUCUGUUACUUCCAUACAGCAUGUUAUCAUAUUUCUAGAGGAACAUAUUCAAAGCAUGUUAGGCCUUAUAUGGAACAUUUUUCAUCAUGCUCAUUCUAACAAGAUUUUGAAAGGGAAGCUAACUUUUAAGCGCAGUUUUUUUUUUGACAUCAAUAAACUGAGAAUUUAUACAUGAACUAUAUUAUAUACAUUUGUUCUUUUCCAAAGUUUAGAAAUUAAUGGAAUGUAAUGAAAGGCUAGGCUCAAGUUAAAAAGUAUAUUAUAUUCAUGCAUGGAAGGCACACACACCAGCUUCAUCAGCAAACUCUAAAAACCAUAUAUGUGAUGAACUUACAAACUUCACACUGAUGACAAUACCAUUCAUUACCUUAAUACUUCUCUCUUUUAAUAAGAUAGAUGCAACAGCAUUUGUAAAUUGUGUUGCUUUGGGCCAGGGCCCAUAGAACUACAUUAACAUAUUUAAAAGGCGAGAGUAACGAAACCUUGCGUAAGAAGAUAAGUGGAAACCUAAAUUGCCGACCAUGAGGCCGAACCUGAGAUCUUUGGUCGCUAAGGUAAAUCUCGAGAAUCAGAUUGCGAUCUAUCAUCUGAUUUCUAACUGAAUUUAUGUUCACAGGCUUACCGCGUUCGUCAAGGGCGUACUUUCUCAUCCUCCUCCUCCUCCGCUCCCAAUCCUAUCGAUGACAAAGGUUACCCACUGAUGAAUUGGGUGUUGUAUUUGGAGGGAAGAUCUAAGUUCUUUGCUUUCUUCUGAUUGUAGGGGGAAUUUCUAUUUACGAGUGGCUCUUACCUCGAGGUUUUGCAACGUUAACGGGGUUCGUUGUAGGUAAGAUUCUAUACUCUUUACUUACACCUCGAAUUAGAUUAAUAAUCACGCUUUGUUUCUUGUGUUUUUUUUUUCUUUUUUUUUUGUAUCAAGCUUCUUACUUUACGGGAGAUAGUGCUUCCAAAUUUGAUGAAAUGGUGAAAGAGGUAAGCUAAUAAAACAUCAUCAUGGUAAUGCAGUUGAAUUGGCAAUAUAGUGUUUUAAUCCUCAUGGUAAUCUUGUGUUUUCAGUAUAACAAGGAUGCUGCGGAAUUCUUGGAGAAGAGGGGAAAGCUGCCGCCUAGUUGGGUGGACUCUGUGUCCAAAUCCUAAUAAUCGCAAAGGUUUGGUGCACCACCCAAAAAAAAAGAAAAAAUCGAACCGGCCUCUAUAGUUUGUCUCCCUAAUUCGUCAUAUUAUGUCUGGUUAAUGUAAGAGAGUGCUUAUGGGCAUCGUCGUUUCCAUGGAUUUGUUUUCUCUUGUGUGGUUUAUAGUUCUGUCUCCCUCGUAGUAAUUUUAUGUCUGGUUCAUGUAAUGAAGUCUAUUUAUUCCCUUUGUUACCUAUGAUAUUCUUUUCUCACGCAUACAUGACCCAUGUCACCAUGCAAGAGGUUUUGAAACCCACGAACAUGAAGUUACUUGCAAUUAUCAGUUAUAAUUCAGAAAACGGUGAAUUGAAGUAAGAAGUCAAAAGAUCUGUUGCUCUGGUUCCAAAUCAGAAAACCCCAAGUGAAAAUCUGACUUGCUUAUCGCGGCCAAUGUCUGAGUCCAUAAAUUCCAACAUCGUUUGGUUAUAGGUGGAUAACCUGAAUCGUUUGGUUGGUGGCAAAGAUGUAGUUUGGCUUCCUGAUGUUGACGCCAUCUUUAGCCCAAGACUUUGCAAGUCAGUUCAAGUUGCAGAAAGGUUGUCUUAAGUUCAACUACUGUUCUUGUCCUUAUUAUUCCAGCAAGCAAAAAUUUCAAAUAUGUUUUAGUUACAAUAAUGUGACCAUUAAAAUGUAUGAAACACUAACGCUCCACGUAUUCCCCCUAUUCGUUAUUUCCUUUUCAACACCAUAGUAUGUAACAUGCCGAGUCCUUUCACCAAAGGGAAAAUCCAUCACACCCCUGAAGAUGAAAGAAUGUUUCCAAUUGCAUCUCACAUGAAGAACCUUAGGCAAUCAGUCGCAACCCGCAAGUUAUCUAGGAGAAGCUGCUUGAUUCCUGGUAGUACCUUCACCUUGACUUGCCUGCUUGUCCAAGCCUACUAAAAGAUUUUGGGAAAUCAACACCUUCAGAAAGAGUUUUCUUUUGAUUUCUGCUUAGAGAAGGAAUAGAGGACUAUCUUGCACGACAUGAUUAAGGAGCACGCUUGAAAGAAGUAAAAAGAAGCAUUCAUGGAAGGCCAAUCAUGCCAUGCAAAUGAGAUAUGAGCAACAAGCGAAGAGGCAUGCAUUAAAACCCCAAACAGUCCACGGGAAGGGCCAGCGUCCGGAGUUCAAGGACCAAAGUGCAUAAGCGUGGUAUGAGACUGCUGUAGACAAAUAAGCUUGUAUCCAACUGUAAUAUGAUCUUCAAGAAUCUGCUCAGUACAUGUUUUGUACUUCAUAUCCUCUUCAGGUUUUGCAUCUUGUUUCCAAAACAUCAAGUUCCAAUAAGGCCUCUCCUCGUGCUCUUCACCAAUAAUAUGUAUGACAGAAGACACAUGAAAAUCUGCAACGCUUCUGUGCUUCCAACAGUCCCUAACAUUGUGGUGCGGUGUCCCAAGUUGUUUUUGAGCCCCAAGUUACUGAUUCUCUCCGAAUUUUUUCUUUUGCCUCUGUCUGCGACUGCAAAUCUUGACUCCAAACAGUAUAUCACUUCGCCACUAUCCUCAACCAUAGGACCAGAAUCUAGCCCCCAACAACUCAGUUUCUGUAAAAGACAGAAAAUGCCUCAAACUCAGCUGCAGAUUAUUUGGAAACUGCCACAAAUUGUUGUAAUAGUCCUAAAGAAUCCUUGCAAUCCCACCACGUUGCAUCUUAUUCUAGUAUGCAUAAUUGAAAAUAUCAUGGAAUCUUGCAGUAUGUCUGACAAAUGAUUGAUCACUUGGUCUAUUAAUAAAGAAUAUCUACACUAGUCCAAAUUCCAAUUAUUCAAAAAGGCUACAUGCGAUGGUUUUGAGUUUUUCCACGCAUUCGCCAGAAGUUCUAUCAAAUGUUGUGUGACGAUGCAGCCUAGUUUGUGUAUUACAGUGUGCACAUGUUACAAAUAAAAUGCGUGCUAGUAGCAAAUGUUUUUAAUUGUUGUUCAUUUAUAAUAAGAUUUUGAACACAAUUCUCUUAAGAGUUUUGUUUUGUUUCUCCUUAGUUUAAUUGGCAACUUAGGUUUAUAAAUCAGGUAAACUUUAAUUUUAUUUUAGUAAUAUUUUUUACUUUUAUUCAUUUUAGAUAAUAUAGUUUAUAUGACAUUGACAAUUACAUUUAAUGUUAAUUUAUAUUUUUGGUAAACUUUUAAAAAUAUGGUAAUAACUUGACAUUCUUCUGUUAAGAUUUCCCAUUUGAGAAACUCUUUUCAGUAUUACAUCUAAUGUCGAUUUAUAUAUUUGAAAUUUUUUUUUAGAAUAUGGUAAUAACUCAUAAAUCAUUAUUAAAAUAAAUGUAUUAAAAAAUGGCAUUACAAAUUUCAAAAUAUCAUUUAAUAAUUUAUAUAUUUUUAAAUUAUACAAUUUUAUUACUAAAAUUUACAAAAAAAAAAGUAUACAAUUUUUUUAAAGAAAAUUAUAAAAAUUUGAUCCGCGAGAGAUCAUUUGUAAAUUGUGUUGAAUUGGGCCAGGGCCCAUAGAAGUAAAUGAACAUAUAUUUAAAAGGCAAGAGUAACGAAACCUUGGGCAAGAAGAAAAGUGGAAACCUAAAUUGCCGACCAUGGGGCCGAACCUGAGAUCUUUGGUCGCGAAGGUAAAUCUCGAGAAUCAGAUUGCGAUGUUGUGUUUUGUGAGCGAUCUAUCAUCUGAUUUUUGUCCAAAUUUAUGUUCACAGGCUUACCGCGUUCGUCAAGGGCGUACUUUCUCAUCCUCCGCUCCCAAUCCUAUCGAUGACAAAGGUUAGCCACUUCUUCUCUUUCCCCGUGAUGAAAGAUAAAUCAAAAUCUCGAGAAGUCUAUUUGUAUUUUGAUAUCUGCGAGAUUGGUCUUUCAGGAAAGAGAUCGGUCAUCACCCCAGUCUGGGAGUCUGUUAAUCGUCUUGCCCCCUGGUUUAUUGGUGGAUAUGUGUUUAAAUUUGGUUUGGGUAAUAAAAGUUGAAUUUUGUUUUCCCUAGUUAAGAGAAAAAGACAACAUGUUCAUUCGUGUUUUGCUUUUUUACAUAUAUCUCAGAAAUAUCGGCCUUAAUGAAAUCCAAGCUAAAGUCUAUUGAGUUGCACGAAGAAUAUUUGAGAGAGUUUGAACGUUAUCAUCAGGAAAAGGGUAUGAAUCUUUCCCCUCUUUUUUAUUUUUGGCUUUUGAAGUUCAGAUUGAAACUAACUCCUAUCUCUGUGCUUUUUCUCUUAUUUCGUGCAUUCAGAGCAGAGCCGUAGCCUCCGUCCAUUCUCCUAGAAAUGUAAUGAAAUGUAUUAUAUCUAUUUGCAAUGCCAGUGAACUUAAUUGUCUAUGGUUGUGAUGUACUUGUUUUUUUUUUUUUUUUUGGCGUUUAUAAACAUUGGCCUCUCAGACUUCUUUACGUAUCUUUGUUGUUUCCCACUUGAACCGGGGUGGCUGCCUUGUUAUAUCUAUCAUGUGUAUUCAACUUUUACUCCAUACCCUCUGUAACCGGACAGUCCUCUCUCCCUCUCUCCCAAAGACAAAUUUUCAGAUUUUUCUUUCUUUAUCAAUGUUCUAAUUGCCCACGAAUCCCUAUUCAAGUCAUUUGAUCGAGAUCUAUUUACUUUACAAUAACUAUAAAUGAAUGAAUGUAAGGUCCAAAAUGAAUUUACCACAAUGUCAUUAAUGAAGGGCAAAUUCUUUGUUAUAAACACAACGGCAAAUCAGGUAAUACGUCAGGUUUAUAUGAAUCAAAGUAUUAACUUAGGGUCAUUGCUUCUGCAGUUUUUUCGUUAUAACUUACUCUAAAGACAAUUUGAUUUCUCGGCUUCACCCUGUGUGAUGAUUAUUAUGCAUAUUUAUUAAAUUAGUUAAUGCAUCUAAAUGCAUAUAUAUCAGUUAAAUAUACAUUUUGAUCUUUAAUUCAUUUAAAUCAGGAUAUUAAAGUAAUGCAACACUUGCGUGACUAAACCGUUUUCAUAACGAUGUAUGUAAUGAAACAAAAACGAGAUAAUAAUUAGUCUAGAAGAAAAUAAACUUAUGUAACUUUGCGGUAUAGGAAAGGUAAUAAAAAUGACAUAUUACUACUGAUAAGUUAAAUUUUGUACUUGUUCUAUGUGUGAUUGAAUGAGACGAUCAUAAUUAAAUUUUGAAAUAUCAAAACUAUUCACAAAGUUUACAAAAAGUUUCAAGUACAGAACAGUAGUAAUGAAAACAUAACUUAUACGUUGACCGAAGUUUCUAUUAACAAAUUGUUUACAUAUCUUCUGUAUUUGUAACAAAGAAACACAAAAAAAAAAAGAAAAAAAAAUUCUAUUUUGCUUUAGCUUCAGUUGAGAAACCAAAAAAGAAAUUCUAAUGUAAUUGCCUUUCUAUAAGUUCAAACCAACCAAUUCCUCAAGAGAAAUGAGUACAGAUACUAUUGGCCCCCCUUUUAUUCAUCUAUUUCCUUACAAUCAUUUAUAUAUUUGAUAGUAUUUUAAUUUCAUUUUCUGGCUCCUACAGUUCCCACAAAUUGAAAAAAGAUCUUUGUACUUUCCUCUUUGUAAGAGUCAAAGUUGAGUUGCUUUCGACUCAUGCUGCUAUAGAUGUCGCGAAUAAACAUCUCGAAAGCUGUGUUUUCAUUGGUCGAGUCCAGUGCAGAUGUCUCCAUGGAAAAACAAACCUUCAGCCUCCGAAGGCUUCUGCCUCCCUCAUUGCUCACCGCUCUUAUGCUCUCGAGGUCACUUUUAUUCCCAAUGAGCAUAUUUGCUACUGUUGUGAUGGAGUAAGCUGCAUGAAGAUUCAUCCACUACUGUCAAACUACUUAAAACAGAAAACAAUAAGCUCGUCGCUGGCUCGACGGACGUUCUCGAAGGUGGAGCAGAAAACAAUCACCAAUAUAAACUGAUUAAAACCAUGGUCUAUGGACAAUUAAAUUCUGAACUAUAGAUUUGGGAAGAAAUCAAUUUACAACUCAUAAUUCGGAGAAAAAUAAGUUGAGAACUUUAAAUUCAUGGAGUUUUAACAUGAAGUCAUAGUUUGAUGGAGAUCUGAUGCUAUACGAUAGUUUUCGUGGGGAAAUAGAUCGUUCACCCAAAAAAUGUAUCUUGAUCUUGUUGCAUUUACUAUCAUAAUUAUAAAAGGCAAGAUUUAAGGGGAAAGGAACGUAGGUUUCGAACCUGUCGCUUGAUGGGCGAGAAGAAGAGUUAAUGAACCACUACACUAUGAGACCUCUCACUGUUUUGGCGCCCCUACAUUGUUUUUAAAUUCUGGCGUCUAAAGCCCAUAUUUACGGGCUUUAGCCCAGGGCCGACCCUUCCUCCUUGCCAUCAUAAGACCACCUCUAUCGGUGUCUCUUAAGGUAUAUUCUAAAGAAAAACAAGAAAAAAAAAAAUAAAAAUAAAAGAGCAAGAACCGGUGUCUAUUUUAGGAUUUUUAGAGGUGUUAAAAACUUUACGUGUCACGUUCUUAUUCGACCUUCCAUUUAUGUCUCUCUCUUUCUUCCUCCAAUCUAGAUCACCCCAUUUUCUCCUACGAUGAUGUCAUUUUUAUUUAAACUUUUUAUGUAUGCUUUUUUCAUGUUAUUAAAUUCAAUCAUUCAAAAACAAAAUCCAAUCAUUCAACUUCUAUUAAAAAAAAUUUAAAAACCCUAAAGAGGUUCUCCCAUUGGACCCAAAAAAAAUUAAUUACUCUAAAAAAAGUUCUAAACUCCUCAAAUCACAAAAUUAACUAUUAAAUUAUUUAUUAGAAUCCAUAAUAGGUUCUAACCAUUGAACUUGCUCUAAGAAUCUAUUAGGUUUAAUAAGACUGGAAGCACACAAAAAAAUGUGGCCGCUUUCUUAAAAAAAUAGAGAAAAAAUAUGUUGUAUAGGAGAGUUGAACCCAGAUUGAUAAAACAAAGUCUAAUUUCUAGAGUUAAUACCACUAGACUACGACAGUCUUUUCAAAAUUUUGUGGCCGGAAUAGUUUCUUAAAUAAAUUGGCCGGAAGCAUGUGUUUUAUUGGCUUGGUCCAACAGCUGACUCUGCUUAGAUUUGUUGUCUUUUUGCAUUGUUUACAUUUUAUCCAUAUAUUUUUGUAAAGGUUUUUUAGUCUAAGCUGAAUUCAAUGAUACAAACAAUAACAUGCAAUAAUCAAAUCUCUGUGUAAUUACUAAUUACAAUUGUUAAAUAGAUAUACAUGUGUUGAGAAAAAAAAAGAUGUACAUUUACAAAAUAAGAAAGUAAAGCACUUUCUUUGAAAAAUUCAUAGAAAUUUAACUUUUGUGCAAAAAAAUAAAAGAGUAUUUAAAUAUUUAGUAGAAAGUAGAGUGAUUUAAGAAAAGUAAAGAUAUAUAUAUAUAUAUAUAUUGAGCAAAAAAAAUCAAUUUUUAUUUAUAUAUUUAUAAUAAUAUACUCCAUCACUGUGAUUUUAACUUUUCUAACAUUAAUUUUUUUGGUAAAGAAUCCAACAAUAUUGACUUCUCCAUUCAGAUCUUGCAUUAAAUUCAAUUAACUCUGAAAUAUUUUUCCUUAAGGAAGUAAUAUCAACAUAUAUGGAAGAUUUAACUCUGGUCAAAAUAAAAAUAAUAGAGGGAUAUUAAACUGAGACUUUUCUUGGCAAAGAGUGUAUAAAUAGAGUAGAUGUUCAUAUAUAUAUUAGUCAUUUAUGGUAAUUCCGUAGGUUUUAUUUAAGGAAAGAAAAUAGCAUAUCAUAUCAUUAUAUCAUAUAGUUUGACCAACUUAUGUAUCUAACAACAUAUAAAAAUCGAAUGUGGACCUACUUAUUUUUCAAUUGAAUGUAAUUGACUACCUAAUUGAGUGUCACCUAUGCAUUGGGGUCUCUUUUAAUUAAUACAAAAUUGAGGUUAUAUCUUUUCAAAUGUUCCUCAAUUAAUAUAUAAGGGAUAAUAUACCAAUGAGAAGAUGGACCUCAAUGAAGAAGUCGGGGUACACGCUUGUUACAGUUGGAUACACUCUGUCUUCAUAACAGUGAGGUAUUUGGAUCAGGUUUUUAAUGCAUGCCUCUUCGCUUGUUGCUCAUCUCUCUGAUUUGGAAUCAGAGCAACCGAUCUUGUCUUCUUAUUAAAACAGGUCAAAUUUUCACUUAGCGUGUUCUGAUUUGGAAUCAGAGCAACCGAUCUUGUCUUCUUAUUAAAACAGGUCAAAUUUUCACUUAGCGUGUUCUGAUUUGGAAUCAGAGCAACCGAUCUUGUCUUCUUAUUAAAACAGGUCAAAUUUUCACUUAGCGUGUUCUGAUUUGGAAUCAGAGCAACCGAUCUUGUCUUCUUAUUAAAACAGGUCAAAUUUUCACUUAGCGUGUUCUGAUUUGGAAUCAGAGCAACCGAUCUUGUCUUCUUAUUUUAAUUCACCGUUUUAUGGAUUACAUGUGAAAAUUGCAAGUAACUUCAUGUAUGCGUGAGAGAAAAAAAAUCAGGAAUAAAUAGACUCCAUUACAUGAAAUGAGGGAGACAGAACUAUAAACCACAGAAGAGAAAACAAAUCCAUGGAAACGAUGAUGAGCAUAAGCAGACUCUCUUACAUAAACCAGACAAAUUAGGGAGACAAACUAUAUAAAGUCCGGCUUUGAUUGAACUUGAGCUAAUUAGGAUUUGUACAUAGCGUCCAAAGAACCAGAUGGCAGCUUCCCCCUCUUCUCCAAGAAUUCCACAGCAUCCUUGUCAAUCUGAAACCACAAGAUGAUCAAAAACACCAUUCAAUAUAAAUUGCGAUGAUGGUGUUUUGUUAGUUUACCGCUUUCAGCUCUUCAUCGAAUUUGGAAACAGAGUCGCCCGUAAUGCAAGAAGCUUGAUACCAACAAAAAAAAAACCAAAGCUUGAUUAUUAAUCAUACUAAAUUAUAGCCUUAACCAAACAUAAAUUGUAUUCCUCAAGUCUCUACUCUCCUAUUUUUUCAUUUCUUUUGUUUGUGUUCUUUUUCUAAAACUUGUUUAUUAUAUAGUGUACAUAUAAUAUAAUGCUGGUGUCAUCUUUUGGUCAAACCAAUUAAAUCAUCUCAAAUACUAAAAAAAAAGGUGAAGAUGUAUUUAUAUACUUGUAUCGCUGAUCUUGCAUGGUGAAUAUUUUUAUAUCUUUGAUCACCUUUUGUCACGUUUUAUCUUUGUUGAUGCGAGCGGCUAUUACGUCUUUCGACAGUCGACACUCUCCCAGUAAAUCAUAGUUACGUUGUUUUGUUUUCAACUGUGUUACCUCGCAUCGUUCAAACUCGGGAUCGAAUAAAAAUCUUUUAUCGGUUGUUUUAAGAGCGCUGGAUUGUGCUGAAUUUUGUUAAUAAGAGAUCGGGCAAGUGAUAUAACUCAACUAAUGGAUUUUUUUGUUGGGUUUUGCUGUUAAUUCUUUUGCAAUAAAAAUGAGCUUAGGCUUUUACUAAAAAGAAAAAGAGCUUAGAUGGUUCCCAGAAUCAUUGCAUAAGUAUCAUCAUUAAUUAAUGUUAACAUGAAUGAAUACAUAUUAGAUAAGAUAUAUAUAGCUUACCUAAUAUUUAUGAUAAUCGUCUCUAUUAGCUGUUCACGUUAAUUAAUCCAUACGCAUUCGUCGCUAAAAUUAACAUUUUAUCAAAACAAACAAAGAAACAUAAAAAUGAGGGUGGAAUUUUGUUCCAUAACCUCAUGCCUGCUCCUAAUUGCUCCUUUUCCGAUUCUACAAAGCUACGAGCCAAAAAGGUUUAAUUAUUUUGCGUCUACGUAAACAUCAUCCGUUUUAAAAAAAAAAGUUGAAAUACUAACAUUUAUGUUAUGUAUUUCAAACUGGUAAAAUAUAGCCGAGUUCUGUUAAUCUAUUGGCCUCACUCUUUUUCCUUGAAACCAAAACAUCGUUUUCCACUAAAAUGCCAAAUUAAUUUAUUUCUGAAAGACUUUAACCCUACAUAUAUUAUACUUAUCGAAAUACAUAUUUUGCUAUGUAAAUUUUAUUACUUUAGUUUUAAACUCUUAACAUAAAAUGAUUUAACACAUCUAAUUAUCUUGUAAGCUCAAAAUGGUUUCUCUUUUGGAAAAGUAAUAAAAGAUUAUGAAUAUAUACAAGGAAGUUAAAUGAAAAUAAAAGACAUCUAACUAUCCACCAGUAAACAUUUUAACAGUACAAGAUAAUUAGAGAACUACCACUUAAUUACUUAAACUUCACAUUCUCAUAUUUUCAUGCAAUUACAUUUGACGAGUCAUUUAUAAAGCUCCUAAAUUCAAUCUAUCAAAGCUAAUAGCACAUCCAAUUCUCUUCAUCUCUUCAUAUAUGGUUUUCUUUACAACUUUUUGUCAUAUUUAGAACAUAAAAUAAUAAACAUCUCUAAAAACUUUACAUAUGGUUGAACUUUAUAGUGAAUUUGAUAGGUGUGUCUUGUGAUAUAAAAAAACCAUAAUUGUAAAAGAAAUGUUAAAUAUAAUUAUAUCAGGAAGACUAAAUAGUAUUUUUUUUUUCCUCUCUCUCUCCCCUCCCUCCCUCUCUCUCUCUCUCUCUCUCCACUAUUUAUUAACCCUAAUAUUGUGCCAUUCUCAAAAAAGUUUUAUAAAAGGUUCUCAACUCAAGUUCUUUCUUUUCUCAAAGAACCCAAACAAUGGCCUCUGCAUACAACCCCAUAUACACAGACGUCCCUGAAAAGGACGUCUUUGCCCUCCACUUCCUCCAAACCCUCUCAAACCUCAGAACACAAAACUCUUUCAGUUCUCCUGACAAUAAAACAAGCGAUCGUGUGAAGAAGAUCAAGAAGGCUGCGUACGUACGUGUCCAUGGCCAGAGCAGCCGGGGGAACUAACCGGCUGUGGAGUAGAAGCCUCUUACACCA